rnacentral:lncRNA from 1 species
GGAAUUGGGAGCAGUCACCUCCAUCCACCACCUAUGCAUGAAAUUCCCAACAGAAAAUGGGGUGGCAACGGUGAGAGGCGACCAGAGAGGUUCGCGAGAGUGCUAUCUGAGCUCCAUUAAGAAGGUGGAGCCCCGAGACGUCCAUGUGAUCGUGGCUGAUGUGGUUAUGACGGAUGUCCCAGGUGACGCUCCCACUGACCAGGAAGAUGUUGAUAUGAUUGAUGCACUCCUCUUUCAGGAGGCGCUGAUCGAUGAGAUCGACCCCCGCAUAAUGGAACAUGAGCCCCAAGCAUCCCCCGUAGAGGAACUUGAGAGCUUCUCAGCCGACCCUCGAGAUCCGUCCAAGGUGCUGAAAGUAGGCAGGGGCUUAUCCGACAUUUUGAGAGAAAAGAUUAAAGAUUUCCUAGGCAAGAACCUGGACGUCUUCGCCUGGAGACAUGAGGACAUGGUUGGCAUAGACCCCAAAGUCAGCUGUCACCACUUGAAAAUCGACCCCAAUUUUACCCCGCAUAGACAAAAAAGGAGAGCCCUCAACCCAGAGAGGUAUGAGGCCCUGAAGGAAGAGGUUCAGAAACUAAUCCAAAAUGGCUUCAUCAGGGAGGCCACCUACCCGAAGUGGGUGUCCAACCCGGUCUUGGUUAAGAAACCCAAUGGCAAAUGGCGAGUGUGCAUCGACUUCACCAACCUUAAUAGAGCUUGCCCGAAAGAUAGCUUUUCGCUUCCAAGGAUUGACCAAUUGGUGGACUCCACGGCUGGGCACGAGUUAUUGAGCUUCAUGGAUGCAUACUCCGGAUACAACCAGAUCCCCAUGCACCCGGCUGAUGAGGAGCACACCUCUUUCAUCACGGAUCGGGGCCUCUAUUGCUAUAGAAUGAUGCCUUUCGGGUUGAAAAAUGCCGGAGCAACUUACCAAAGACUCGUGAACAAAAUGUUCGCCGACCUCAUUGACAAGACAAUGGAGGUCUACGUGGAUGAUAUGCUAGUGAAAAGCUUAGAGGCGGAAAGCCACGUAUCGCACCUCAACAACACCUUCCAAAUCCUGAGAAGGUACAGGAUGAGGCUCAACCCCUUGAAAUGUGCCUUCGGGGUGGCUUCCGGCAAGUUCUUAGGGUACAUGGUUAACCAGCGAGGAAUUGAAGCAAAUCCCGAAAAAAUUGAGGCUCUGUGCCAGAUGAGGUCCCCCCAAAAGCCAAAGGAGGUGCAAAGCUUAACUGGGCG